rnacentral:lncRNA from 1 species
CAACAGGUAGAAAAAAGCAUACAACAGAAGAGCUUUUACAAGAUACAAUUGGCGAUACAAAUAUAAAAUCUUCUGAAUAAUCACUGGUAUUGUUCUGCUACUAACUAAACACAGUGCAUUAACAAUCUGUCCCGGUUUUGGUACUCAUUCUCCUUAUUAAUUUUAGUCUGGCUGGUCACAGACUGAACUGGAGAACCAGCUGGCAAAGUCGCAACUUCAUUUUGGUAAGGAAUACUGUAGACCUGCAAGAGCUUAGAAAGAUUUAUUGGAAUAUAAUUUCCUAAGUAUGAAAGCUAAUGAUGAUAAAAGAACAUCAGAUUAGUAUACUAUUUAAAUUUGUAUUAAACUAUUUCUGAAAAAAUUGUUUUACAUGCUUGCUGAUACCAUGACGCACCCACAAAAUCACCUCAAGUUUGGAAGUUUAAAAUUCUGAAGGAAGUCAUUUAAAUAGAAAACUCCACAUUCUUCUAAAUGUAUUUGAGUGGUUUUAAAAAUAGAAAGCUUAUUGGAACUAAUACUAUUCACAAUUCUUUUUGUUUAAUAGCAGCCGUCUGGUCUGUAAAAAUGAAUAUCUUUUUAAACAAUGAAGAGAAAUUCUGACUGUGAGCUUAAGUUAAAGGAGUAAUGGUUUCUAAAAAUUUCUUUGAAAAUGUAACUUAGUAUGCCUAUUACUACAAUGAUUACACUG